AGAGUUUGAUCCUGGCUCAGGAUGAACGCUGGCGGCGUGCUUAACACAUGCAAGUCGAGCGAAGCGUAUUUGCGGAAGUUUUCGGAUGGAAGCGGAUGCGACUUAGCGGCGGACGGGUGAGUAACGCGUGGGUAACCUGCCUCAUACAGGGGGAUAACAGUUAGAAAUGACUGCUAAUACCGCAUAAGCGCACAGGACCGCAUGGUCCGGUGUGAAAAACUCCGGUGGUAUGAGAUGGACCCGCGUCUGAUUAGCUGGUUGGCGGGGUAACGGCCCACCAAGGCGAAGAUCAGUAGCCGACCUGAGAGGGUGGCCGGCCACAUUGGGACUGAGACACGGCCCAAACUCCUACGGGAGGCAGCAGUGGGGAAUAUUGCACAAUGGGGGAAACCCUGAUGCAGCAACGCCGCGUGAGUGAAGAAGUAUUUCGGUAUGUAAAGCUCUAUCAGCAGGGAAGAAAAAAGACGGUACCUGACUAAGAAGCCCCGGCUAACUACGUGCCAGCAGCCGCGGUAAUACGUAGGGGGCAAGCGUUAUCCGGAUUUACUGGGUGUAAAGGGAGCGUAGACGGCAUAGCAAGUCUGAAGUGAAAGCCCGUGGCUCAACCGCGGAACUGCUUUGGAAACUGUUAAGCUGGAGUACUGGAGAGGCAAGCGGAAUUCCUAGUGUAGCGGUGAAAUGCGUAGAUAUUAGGAGGAACACCAGUGGCGAAGGCGGCUUGCUGGACAGAGACUGACGUUGAGGCUCGAAAGCGUGGGGAGCAAACAGGAUUAGAUACCCUGGUAGUCCACGC
rnacentral:rRNA from 1 species